GGUGAAUUUUCCGCAAUGGGCGAAAGCCUGACGGAGCAAUACCGCGUGAGGGAAGAAGGCUCUUGGGUUGUAAACCUCUUUCCUUAGGGAAUAAAAAAAUGAAGGUACCUAAGGAAUAAGCAUCGGCUAACUCCGUGCCAGCAGCCGCGGUAAUACGGAGGAUGCAAGCGUUAUCCGGAAUGAUUGGGCGUAAAGCGUCCGCAGGUGGUACAACAAGUCUAGUGUCAAAGACCGGGGCUCAACUCCGGAAAGGCGGUGGAAACUGUUGAACUAGAGGGUCGUAGGGGUGGAGGGAAUUCCCAGUGUAGCGGUGAAAUGCGUAGAGAUUGGGAAGAACAUCGGUGGCGAAGGCGCUCUACUGGACGGCACCUGACACUCAGGGACGAAAGCUAGGGGAGCGAAUGGGAUUAGAUACCCCAGUAGUCCUAGCCGUAAACGAUGGAUACUAGGUGUGGCUUGUAAUAAAACGAGCCGUGCCGUAGCUAACGCGUUAAGUAUCC
rnacentral:rRNA from 1 species